AACGAACGCUGGCGGCAGGCUUAACACAUGCAAGUCGAACGGUUGUAGCAAUACAGCAGUGGCAGACGGGUGAGUAACACGUGGGAACCUUCCUAGAGGUACGGAACAACGCAGGGAAACUUGCGCUAAUACCGUAUACGCUCUUGCGAGGAAAGAUUUAUCGCCUUUAGACGGGCCCGCGUCGGAUUAGCUAGUUGGUGAGGUAACGGCUCACCAAGGCGACGAUCCGUAGCUGAUCUGAGAGGAUGAUCAGCCACACUGGGACUGAGACACGGCCCAGACGCCUACGGGAGGCAGCAGUGGGGAAUCUGGGACAAUGGGCGCAAGCCUGAUCCAGCCAUGCCGCGUGAGUGAAGAAGGCCUUCGGGUUGUAAAGCUCUUUUGUCGGGGACGAUAAUGACGGUACCUGAAGAAUAAGCCCCGGCAAACUUCGUGCCAGCCGCCGCGGUAA
rnacentral:rRNA from 1 species